UUUGAACCAUUGGAUCGUAGUUA
rnacentral:miRNA from 1 species